CCUUCGAUAGCUCAGUUGGUAGAGCGGUGGACUGUAGCGUGUUUCAGGUGGGGUGAAGAUCGAAUGAAAUCUCACCUCGCAAAACAAUAGAGCCAUCCAUAGGUCACUGGUUCAAAUCCGGUUCGAAGGA
rnacentral:tRNA from 1 species